rnacentral:rRNA from 1 species
GACAGAGGGUGCAAACGUUGUUCGGAAUUACUGGGCGUAAAGCGUGUGUAGGCGGCCUUGCAAGUCGGAUGUGAAAGCCUUGAGCUCAACUCAAGAAAUGCACUCGAUACUGGAUGACUUGAGGACCGGAGAGGAUAGUGGAAUUCCCAGUGUAGUGGUGAAAUACGUAGAGAUUGGGAAGAACACCAGUGGCGAAGGCGGCUAUCUGGACGGUUUCUGACGCUAAGACGCGAAAGCGUGGGGAGCAAACAGG